GUCAGAAGCCCAUCCUGUUUUAAGGGGAGAGGAAUUACACUCCACCUCUCAAUGGGUGAAUGGCAGGAAAGACCCUUCUCGCGCUUAGGAACACCAGACGGCACUUCAGCACUGUGCCUAGGGGCCAUUUUAAACAGCGAAAUCAUCAAGAAAAAAGCACAAAAAUGAGAAAAAUGUUGCACUAAACAGAGCAUGAAAGGACACUUGCUCAUAGUGUGAGAGCUGAACAUGCAUAUAUGUGUUCAUCACUCUGCGCUUGUCUGUGAAUGACCGUGAACAUGCUGCAAGUCUUGAUUUGGGGGUUACAAGUUAAUUUUAUCAAGUAGAAGAAUUUGCCAACAUGGAAUUUAUGAACAAUGAGGAUCAAUUAUAUGUAUUUUUGGUGUCAGAGAAGAGCUCACAAUGGAACCCCGUACACUUGUUUGGGAGGGGAGUUGGGUUGUGUGCACCUAAAAUCUUUGAUGCUGGGAGUUCAACUUUGGCAACUUAUCUGGAGAAAAUUAUCAGGCAAAUGAGUGAAUGAUUGUGUACAAGGAUGUUCAUUUAUAAUUUAAUGAAACACUAUGCAAUCAUGAAAAUGCAUUGAUGAAUAUUAACAUGAAAAAUGUAUGAAAUGUAAAAUGAAA
rnacentral:lncRNA from 1 species